AGCAAUCUGAUUCCUUCCUUGUUCCAGUGACCCAGCCCCUCUCUCCUUUUCUUUCCUUCACAAUUCAGAACCUUGCACUACCCUCAACCAAAAAAAAACCUAGCCAUCUAGCCUCCACCACUGCCACCGCAAGGAGUGGGACACUGCAGCCAUCCAUCGCACUCAGGAGCUUCCCUCUUCGUCCUGUCGGCAUGCUCCAAAGCUCCAACCCCUGUUCACUCUCACCGAUCACAGCUUCUUCCUCGAGGUUUUGGAGUUAUCAUGUGCUCUGGCAAUUAUGUAAUUUGAUGAUUGCCUAUUACUGCUACUUUGAAUGUUCAUUCAGCGUGUGGCAAUGAAGCAGAACCCAAGUCACAGCAAAGAAGGUGGAGGCACGUCAAAGCACACUGCAGGGACAGACGAGUCACGAGGCGGGGCAAUGAAGGCGACAGACGGAGGUGAGCAGAGCAGCACACACGGA